ensembl:snoRNA
CCUAUCCCUAAAGGCAUUGAAGGUGUGGCUGCUGUGUCAUUUGUGCAUCAGUAGGUGGCAGAGAGGAAGGAUACUAUGUCUGUCCUCAUUGUUCUGACCUAUGAUGGAGCCUAGGGGACCAGGAUGAUAAUAUAGAAAUACAUA